AGUGAACGCUGGCGGUAGGCCUAACACAUGCAAGUCGAACGGCAGCACAGUAAGAGCUUGCUCUUACGGGUGGCGAGUGGCGGACGGGUGAGGAAUACAUCGGAAUCUACUUUUUCGUGGGGGAUAACGUAGGGAAACUUACGCUAAUACCGCAUACGACCUACGGGUGAAAGCAGGGGAUCUUCGGACCUUGCGCGAUUGAAUGAGCCGAUGUCGGAUUAGCUAGUUGGCGGGGUAAAGGCCCACCAAGGCGACGAUCCGUAGCUGGUCUGAGAGGAUGAUCAGCCACACGGGAGCUGAGACACGGUCCAGACUCCUACGGGAGGCAGCAGUGGGGAAUAUUGGACAAUGGGCGCAAGCCUGAUCCAGCCAUACCGCGUGGGUGAAGAAGGCCUUCGGGUUGUAAAGCCCUUUUGUUGGGAAAGAAAAGCAGCAGGUUAAUACCCCGCUGUUCUGACGGUACCCAAAGAAUAAGCACCGGCUAACUUCGU
rnacentral:rRNA from 1 species